UCGAGUUUGAUCCUGGCUCAGAUUGAACGCUGGCGGAAUGCUUUACACAUGCAAGUCGAGCGGCAGCGCGGGGGCAACCCUGGCGGCGAGCGGCGAACGGGUGAGUAACACAUCGGAACGUACCCUGUCGUGGGGGAUAACGAAUCGAAAGAUUCGCUAAUACCGCAUACGACCUGAGGGUGAAAGCAGGGGAUCGCAAGACCUUGCGCGAUUGGAGCGGCCGAUGUCGGAUUAGCUAGUUGGUAGGGUAAAGGCCUACCAAGGCGACGAUCCGUAGCUGGUCUGAGAGGACGACCAGCCACACUGGGACUGAGACACGGCCCAGACUCCUACGGGAGGCAGCAGUGGGGAAUUUUGGACAAUGGGGGGCAACCCUGAUCCAGCCAUUCCGCGUGAGUGAAGAAGGCCUUCGGGUUGUAAAGCUCUUUCGGCAGGAACGAAACGGCGGGCUCUAACAUAGCCUGUCAAUGACGGUACCUGAAGAAGAAGCACCGGCUAACUACGUGCCAGCAGCCCCGGUCAA
rnacentral:rRNA from 1 species